CGAACGCUGGCGGCGUGCUUAACACAUGCAAGUUGCGCGAGAAAGCUACCUUCGGGUAGUGAGUAAAGCGGCGAACGGGUGAGUAACGCGUGGGUUACCUACCUCUAAGUUAGGGAUAACUUCUCGAAAGGGAAGCUAAUACCUAAUAUUCUAAAGAUGGCUCUGCUAUCGCUUAGGGAUGGGCCCGCGUCCCAUUAGCUUGUUGGUAGUGUAAGAGACUACCAAAGCAACAAUGGGUAGCCGACCUGAGAGGGUGAUCGGCCACACUGGGACUGAGACACGGCCCAGACUCCUACGGGAGGCUGCAGUGGGGAAUCUUCCGCAAUGAGCGAAAGCUUGACGGAGCAACGCCGCGUGAGUGAUGAAGGCCUUCGGGUCGUAAAGCUCUGUCCUAAGGGAAGAACACCUCAGUAGAUAACAUCUGCUGGGAUUGACGGUACCUUUGGAGGAAGCCUCGGCUAAUUACGUGCCAGCAGCCGCGGUAAUACGUAAGAGGCAAGCGUUGUCCGGAAUCACUGGGCGUGAAGGGUGCGCAGGCGGUCUAGUAAGUCAAGAGUGAAAUCCAUCGGCUCAACCGGUGAACUGCUUUUGAAACUACUAGACUUGAGAAUAGGAGAAGAGAGUGGAAUUCCUGGUGUAGUGGUGAAAUACGUAGAUAUCAGGAAGAAUACCAAUGGCGAAAGCAGCUCUCUAGCCUAAUUCUGACGCUGAGGUACGAAAGCUAGGGUAUCAAACGGGAUUAGAUACCCCGGUAGUCCUAGCUGUAAACGCUGGAUACUAGGUGUUGGGGGUUCAACUCCCUCAGUGCUGCAGUUAACGCGUUAAGUAUCCCGCCUGGGGAUUACGACCGCAAGGUUGAAACUCAAAGGAAUUGACGGGGGCCCGCACAACCGGCGGAGCAUGUGGGUUAAUUCGAAGCGACGCACAGAACAUUACCAGGGUUUGACAUCCUAUGACCAUCUGUGAAAGCAGAGUUUGGCUCUUUGAGUCACAUAGUGACA
rnacentral:rRNA from 1 species